CAGACAUUUUUGAAAUCAUGAAGACAGAUGUGCUGACAUGGCACUGCUGAUCUUGUCAUUUUCAAUCCCGAUCCCAUAUUAAACACAAUAAAUAAUACCCCUGUGAAUAUCUCCUUUUUCCCCAUUCAUUUCUUCAAGUCAUAUGGAAGUAUUUAUAAAUUCUAUGGCUCACCUCAACGAAGAACUGAUUAUCUAGCUGUUUUAUAAGAUACUCUCGACGCCCAUAUCACUGGACCUUCCCCCCGGCCCCCCUCUCACCUUGCGGUAGCCAGAGGGAAAGAAGAGGACUUCCCCCACCAAACGCUUACCAACCCACCAUUCCCCUCCCCUCCUCUCGUCUUGUCUCCCUCGCUCGCUUGCUCUCUUAUUCUUGUUCCACCUGCCCCAUCAACAGGCCAACAAAUACAUAAAAUACCCGGCGCCAGAGCACAAAACACAGAGCAAAACGGACCCCAGCACACCGCAAGAUAGGCAGGCGUAUUAGGCGGAGUGCAAUUGAAGCGUACCCAUCCAGAAGAAGAAAGCCAAACGACCGAAUAUCAAAACAAAACACACCAAUCGGAGAAGGACAAAAGAAAAAAGGCAGAAAGCAGAAAGCAGAAAGCAGAAAGCAAAAGCAAACAGAUCUCCAAAUUCCCCUUUUGAGGGAGGGAAAACAAAACAAAAAACACACCGCGAUGCCCCACCACCCUAUCUCCGAAACGGCAGUCUCCGCGCCGGGAAAGGUCCUGUUGACGGGUGGCUAUCUGGUGCUUGACAGACGGUAUACGGGGAUGGUAUUUGCGCUUAACGCGCGCAUUCAUGUUGUUGUGCGGCAGCUGCAGAGGGAGAAAUCAAAGAGAGACGAGGGG
rnacentral:sRNA from 2 species